rnacentral:tRNA from 1 species
GCCUGGGUGGCUCAGUUGGUUAAGUGUCUGACUUUAGCUCAGGUCACCAUCUCAUGGCUUGUGAGUUCAAGCCCCACAUCGGGCU